AUAGAAUGACCACAACCAUAUUAACAAACCAAAAACCUGUGCACAGAAACAAGAUGAAGAAAAUAUAUCAAGAUGUUAACCACACUCUUUGGAUGGUGAAAACAUGGGUGAGUUUCUCUUCUACAUUUCUGUAACUUCAAAGUUUCUAUAAUGAACACAUUUCAUAUAUAAUGGAAAUAUAUGUAGUAAAGGUGGACUACCAAAACACUAGAAUGAUGACCUUUCAAGGAAACCGAAACAAAAUAACCAUAAUCCCACAACAACCACACAACUAUUUCUUGUUUUUCAUCUUUCUUCCCAUCUUUGACAUUUAUGCAUACUUAUCACUAACACCCUAAUAAUCACAGACUAGUGCACAGAUCAAGAUGUUAACAGUUAAUUGUUGUUGGGUGUUGGGAAUAUGUGUGAAUUUUCUUUACUGAAUUUCCAAAGUUUUGUAUGAGUAUGUAUUAUAUUUGUAAUGGAAAAUACAUACAUAAAAUUUAUUACCAAAACACCAAAGAUUAUUUAAGGAAUUUGAGACAAAAUAUUUAACCAAAUUCCCACAAUGACAACACUAUUUUAGUUAUUUUCCACAUCUUUUCAUUUAAGACUUUAUGCACACAUAUUUAACACUGUUAUCACAAGCGUGUGCACUGAAACAAGAUAGAGGAAACAGAUCAAGAUGUUAGCAGUAGUUGUUAGGUGUUGGGAAUAUAGGUAAUUUUUUAAAAUAAUUUACUUUAUUUUCUAAUUUUUCCUCUGGGUAUGUAUUAUGCACACCAAUGGAGACACACAUAAUACACUGUUAUCAGGACAUUAUUAUAGGGAACAUUUGAAAAAAUUAAAGUGAAAGUAUUUAACCAUAAUUCCACAAAGGUAAUGUAACAGCUAUUUUGAAUAUACAUUUUGACACAGUUAUAAUCAUAAACCUGUGCACAGAAACAAGAAUGAACAAGAUAAGAGGAGAGUAUAUGUCUUUGGAUGGUGGGGAUAUGAUUUUUUUUCCUCCACUUUUCUGUAUUUUCCAAGUGUGUGAUAAUGAGUUCAAAUUAUGUUCACAAUGAAAAUGUGAUCAUAAACUUUUUAGUAACACUACCAUAAAGAACAUUCAAGAAAUUUAAGAAAAUAAUGCUCAACUAUAAGCCUACAACAACAACACCACAACAGCUUUUGACUAUAAGCAUAUAUAUUUUUAAACAGUUAUAAUGAACUGUUUAAAUGAACUGUUAAAUGAACAGCAUAUAAAUGAACUGUUGAGUUAUAACUGUAGUAUAAAUAUACUUUCGUGUCCUGCUUUCUCCACUUAAUGUUCUGUAAAUAUAUUUCCACGUUGCUACAUAACUCGUGAUUAUCAUUUUUAAACAGUUGCAUUAAGUGUCCACAGAUAGGUUUAAACAAUCAUUCUCUUGUUUACCAUUUGUUACUACCUUUUCACUAGCUGAAGGUUGGAACGGACACCCUGACUUACAGCAAGUUGCUUUCUGAAAAGGGGCUACCACUGCCAACAAUGUUAACACCAAGUAAUGUACCCACAAAGUUCACCCCGACAUCAACACUGAUUCUCGUUUCAAGAGUCCUUUUCCCAUGUAGUAAACCUCACUGCCCCUCAGCUUUCCCGAUGUCCGUUCCAACCUCAGUCCUUCCUAUGCAGCCAGCCCUCACCUACACCAUACCAUCAAAAACUCCUUUUCCAAACUGCUCAGGACACCCCGCUCAAUUCAUUCUCAGAAACCUGGCCUUCUACAGUUCUUGCCUCUGGUGUUUUCUUCUGUCUGUCUCCUCUCCCCUCCUAGAUCUGGUGAUAUAUUAGGACUCCCUUCUUUGACUCACUCAUUUCUGCUUCUUGCUCUCAGCUCUACAAUCUUCCUAAACUUUGACACUCCCUGCAUCUUUGACAUACUUCCAAGCCCUAAUCCUGCAGAUCCAGAAGAGUAAGAUUCAGACACAUUUCCCCCAGUGGGUACUUUAAUUUUGCUUGUUCAAAUGAUCUACACUUACAUUUUGCAAAUCUUUUUUUUUAAAUUUUUUAAAUUUUAUAUUUUUUUUCCAGCCAACUCAAGGCCAAAAAAAAUUUCUUAAUAUAGUUAUUAUGCGAGGGGAGGGGAAGCAAAGGAGCACAGGUAGUCCACAGAAUAGGACACAAGAAACCUCAAGCUGUGAGGUCAAUUUGUAAUUAAAAGAAUACUAAGAUUAGAUGAACACAACACUCAGAAAUACUCUAGGAGAGCUGAAAAAGAAGGAACAGAUGUUAACAAAACAAAUUAAGGCUGCUGGGGAACCUGAGUCCAUGUUAAGCUUGGGUUGACUGUAAAGAAUUUUUUUUUUUUUAAUGCAAGUUAGACAUGGAGUUAGAGGGUCAGAUAAAUAACGAAGAGAAUUAAGUUAGCGAUAGAAAGAUCUAAGGAUACUAGCUCCUGGGCACCUAGGGUGCAAACUGACUUGUGGCAGCAUAAGCUGAUGCUGCACAGGGGACCCAAGCCAUGUUGCUACUUGUCACUUAAGGCAGGAAGCGCACAAAGGAAGUGAUGAAAGGUUAUUAGCCUGCAACAUUAUUUACAGCAUGAGAGCCUCUCCUACGGUUCUCAACCUUCAUUAGGCACUACUGUGAUCUAGUGAUGGUUGUAACCCAUUCUUUAAAGGCAAAGAUGUAAGAUUUACAGGGAAAAGCUUCGGGUUUUAUCAAUUCACUAUCAUCAAACACAUAUUGAGUUGGUUAAAAAAAAAAAAAACCCAGAACACAAAUGUGUAAUAUUUUUGCAUGAGAACCACUUCAACAAACAUAACAUGUGGCAACCAAUCAAUCUGGGUCACAAAAAGCCAAUCCGUAUAUUGUAAAGCCUUACACAGUAUUAGGUUCCAAAGUGUUGGCGCAGAUGAAAUGGCUGCAGAAAGAAGCUAAAGUACUUAUCUUUUCAAACAGUAAGGAGUAAAAGCCAUGUUAUCUAUCAUGCCUACAGCUUCACAAGACUAUUUAAGGGUAAGAAACAAAACAAUUACUCAAAAAGAUAUUGACAGGGUUCAAAUAAUGCACAAUAAAUCUUUCUCAGGAUCUAAGACACUUAAAAAUAUAAUCAAAUUUGUUGCUCUCUUCCUCCUCCAAAAAAAAAAAAAAUUCAAAGAAUACCAGGUAAGGUACCUCUGCAGAGUAAACUGUAACUGUAUAUCAUAUAAAUCCAAAUAUAUGUGAUCACUGUUCUGUCAUAAUUUGCUAUUUUAUAUACACCUCAUGAAACACUAUAUAUACGUUACACAAGUGUCAUUUACAGUUGAUUUGGGCAAACUCUGUAGUCUGGAAUACUCAUAGGGUUUUCUCAAUCUGAUUACUUGGAAAGGUAAGAUGUGUGCUAUGGCUUUCCCACAUGCAGACACUGACAUCUGAAGGGGAAAGCUUAAGACUGUGGAAUCUGCACAUUCGGUCUCUUUUCAAUCUGAGUUUAGAGAUGUUAAGUCAGGUGUGUAACACACUAAGGUUAAGUCUCCUACUGACAUUAUCAUGGAUUGGUUUGGAUUCUCUGUGGUUUGGUAAGGGUCAAGUCCUAGGUGAAGGUUUUCUAACCUUUACCCCAUGCCCUCAGCCAGUGUGGGUAUUCUGGUGUCUGGCGAGGGACAGGCGGUCAUUGAAGAGCUGCCCACAGACGUCACAUUUGAAGUACUUCUCAUCAGCUUGAUUGGCACCACCUGUGCUGGUGCUGGCACGUUCGAUGUAGCCUGAGCACUCCCCAAAGGCAUUU
ensembl:lncRNA novel transcript (contains ZIM2-AS1 and PEG3-AS1)